rnacentral:rRNA from 1 species
GAAGAACGCUGGCGGCGUGCUUAACACAUGCAAGUCGAACGAAGUGGCGAAAGGGUGAGUAACGCGUAAUCAACCUGCCCUUCAGAGGGGAACAACAGUUGGAAACGACUGCUAAUACCGCAUACUGAAGGGGGGGAUUGAGUUUGAUUAGCUAGUUGGAGGGGUAACGGCCACCCAAGGCAAUGAUCAGUAGCCGGUCUUAGAGGAUGAACGGCCACAUUGGGACUGAGACACGGCCCAGACUCCUACGGGAGGCAGCAGUGGGGAAUCUUCCGCAAUGGACGAAAGUCUGACGGAGCAACGCCGCGUGAGUGAUGACGGCCUUCGGGUUGUAAAGCUCUGUUAAUCGGGACGCGGUACCGGAAUAGAAAGCCACGGCUAACUACGUGCCAGCAGCCGCGGUAAUAC